rnacentral:rRNA from 1 species
UACGUAGGUGGCAAGCGUUGUCCGGAAUUAUUGGGCGUAAAGCGCGCGCAGGCGGCCUCCUAAGUCCGAUGUGAAAGCCCCGCGGCUCAACCGUGGAGGGUCAUUGGAAACUGGGGGGCUUGAGUGCAGGAGAGAAGAGUGGAAUUCCACGUGUAGCGGUGAAAUGCGUAGAGAUGUGGAGGAACACCAGUGGCGAAGGCGGCUCACUGGACUGGUAUUGACGCUGAGGUGCGAAAGCGUGGGGAGCAAACAGG